GGCUCUGUAGUGAAGUUCAUGGUGAGUUGCAAGCUCAUUGAUGCACAUUGAUCGUGUGCCGGGGCCU
rnacentral:tRNA from 1 species